rnacentral:lncRNA from 10 species
AUUCCAUCUUACUGACAAUACCUAAAUUAUUGUUUGUUAUAGAACAUAAUGAUUUAAAUAUACAAAACACUAAACUGUUUGAGAUUUUUUACAUUUUAUGCGUGCAGAAUUUACAUUUUAUGUGUGCAGAGACAAAAAUUGUUAUAAGAUUACAAGUUAAUGUGCAAGAUGAUUUCCGAUUCAUGAGUUUCAGGUUUUGAUAGCAUAUCCUUAUCCACUAGAUUAGUCUUUUAAAAAUGUGUAUGAUAGGGAAAAAAUCGAGGGCAUGAAAUUCUGAGACUUAUGGGAACUAAACUUAAAUGUUCGUUGUUAGAUUUUUUUUUUUUUUUUUUUUUGCUGCGUAUGAAGUUUUAGGCAGUCAUUGUCCAACAACAUUAAAUACUGAACAUAUGGGAAAAGCAUAUGAUUUUUCGAAAUGUUUUUCUAAAGUAAUCUCAUUCUACAUACACUUAAGAGCAGUUAUAAUGCUUUAGUGACACUUGAAGUAGCUAUUUAAUGUGAUCUCACCACUAUAGGGAAGGCCGUUGCAUGACUUUUUUGUGUGUGCUUAACUGCUAAACAGGAGAAUCUUUUCCUGAGCAACCAGCUGGGAAGGAUUUAAUUUGACAUUCUCCCUACUAGGACCCCCCCAAAGAGACUCAUUCCCUCCAAUAGUUCCUACAAGUUCUUUCUCUUUCCUAAACUUGCUGUUACUAAUUUACCCCUCACUGUUCUUCAAGGCAAAGCAUCUGCAAGGUUUUCAGUCCUUUCCCCCUCCCGUCCUGUCCCCAUCAGUGUUGAAAUGUAUGCUACAGUUAUUAUGGUUGUAAUUUGUUAUGCCAUGUUGAUCUUCUUGUGCUUUUCAUAUCAGAACAAUGUAUUUUUAACAUUCUGACUUUCUUUUUCUCUCAAUUGGUAACUGACUAUAUAGAAAAUUUAUAUUUAUGGAUACUAUUUCUUUUUUAAUAAGUUCAAGGGAAAACAUUGAUAAAGGAAAAUUUAUCCUUUCAACUUUCUUUAGGUGCCAGCAUUAUUUUCAUAUUAGGAAGCAGGAGAAAGUUAAGGAACUCUAAGCAAUACUAGAAUGGUUAUAUAUAUAUUUAAGUUUGUAUUAAACCUGUUGGAAUGGUAAAGAAAUUUACUGACAUAUUUAACCAUACAAAAUAGUGUUGCUAAAAGACUAGUUUUUCUCUUUAUUCUGUGCAUAUGUAUAUAUAUGAAUGUGUGUUUUUUUUAAGAAAUUUUAAAAAAACUUAAUCUGCCAGCUUUUCUCUAUUGGAAUUUGCG